rfam:Ictidomys tridecemlineatus contig102295, whole genome shotgun sequence.
GGGGUUGUGACUCAGUAGUAGAGUGCUUGCCUAGCAUGUGUGAGGCACGGGGUUCAAGCCCCAGCACCACCU